rnacentral:RNase_P_RNA from 1 species
UGGGUCGGCAAGACGGUCGCGGCGAUUGGAAACAAUCGUCGAGGAACGUCCGGGCUCCGCAGAGCAUGGUGGUGGGUAACACCCACCCGGGGUAACCCGCGAGACAGUGCAACAGAAAGCAGACCGCCACCGGGCUGCUCCCGAAAGGGAGCGCCAGGGGGUAAGGGUGAAACGGUGGUGUAAGAGACCACCAGCGGCCGGGGUGACCCGGUCGGCUAGGUAAACCUCGCCAGGAGCAAGGUCAAACAGGAAGCGCUACGGGCUGCUCGUCCAGUUUCCGGGUAGACCGCUAGAGGUGUGCGGCAACGUACAUCGUAGAUAGAUGGCCGUCCAGCGUGACAUCUUCGGAUGCCGCGUCAACAGAACCCGGCGUAUCAGCCGGCCCAUUCC